rnacentral:rRNA from 1 species
UACGUAGGGGGCAAGCGUUGUCCGGAAUCAUUGGGCGUAAAGCGCGUGUAGGCGGUUCGGUAAGUCUGCUGUGAAAGCCCAGGGCUCAACCCUGGGAUGCCGGUGGAUACUGUCGGACUAGAGUACGGAAGAGGCGAGUGGAAUUCCCGGUGUAGCGGUGAAAUGCGCAGAUAUCGGGAGGAACACCAAUUGCGAAGGCAGCUCGCUGGGACGUUACUGACGCUGAGACGCGAAAGCGUGGGGAGCAAACAGG